GACGGAGGGUGCAAGCGUUGUUCGGAUUUACUGGGCGUAAAGGGCGCGUAGGCGGCGCAACAAGUCACUUGUGAAAUCUCCGGGCUUAACCCGGAGCGGGCAAGUGAUACUGUCGUGCUAGAGUGCGGAAGGGGCUACUGGAAUUCUCGGUGUAGCGGUGAAAUGCGUAGAUAUCGAGAGGAACACCUGCGGCGAAGGCGGGUAGCUGGGCCGACACUGACGCUGAGGCGCGAAAGCCAGGGGAGCGAACGGG
rnacentral:rRNA from 1 species